GACGAACGCUGGCGGCGUGCUUAACACAUGCAAGUCGAACGGAAAGGCCCUGCUUGCAGGGUACUCGAGUGGCGAACGGGUGAGUAACACGUGGGUGAUCUGCCCUGCACUUCGGGAUAAGCCUGGGAAACUGGGUCUAAUACCGGAUAGGAGCCAUUUUUAGUGUGAUGGUUGGAAAGUUUUUUCGGUGUAGGAUGAGCUCGCGGCCUAUCAGCUUGUUGGUGGGGUAAUGGCCUACCAAGGCGGCGACGGGUAGCCGGCCUGAGAGGGUGGACGGCCACAUGGGGACUGAGAUACGGCCCAGACUCCUACGGGAGGCAGCAGUGGGGAAUAUUGCACAAUGGGCGCAAGCCUGAUGCAGCGACGCCGCGUGGGGGAUGACGGCCUUCGGGUUGUAAACUCCUGUCGCUAGGGACGAAGCUUUUGUGACGGUACCUAGAGAAGAAGCACCGGCUAACUACGUG
rnacentral:rRNA from 1 species